AAGUAUUUGUUGGCUUCGGGAAAUGGGAGAAAUGUAGUCAGUGGUAGCGUGAGAGAGGAUUUCCCAUUUCUAAGCCUCAGCUGAUCUGCCUGCAAGGAAGAGGGGAAAUGCCAUGGGUUCCAGAUUUACGGGAAAUUCAGGAUGAAGAAGACCAAAGCACUUGACCGACUGUACGUUGUGAGACCCUUCGGUUCAACAUCAUGAGCCUCAGCUACUUCCUGACUGCUAUCCAUUCCAUCUAUUGAGGUUUCUUUUUCUGCAGAGAGAGAGCGAGGAAAAAAAAAAAGGAGGCUGAAUGACUUAAUGGGAGGAGAAAGAGAUGAACAAAGGUUAUGUGGAGAAGAGCAACUGAUGUGUCAAAUGCUAUCGCCCAGGUUUGGAAUGUCAAGGAAAGGCAGAGGAAGGUGGCAGGUGCUGUGUCAAGAAAUGGUUUAAAGCUUCAGGGAAUAUGGUAUAUCGACUGGGUCUUAGCAAUGAGUCGGAUUUCCGCAGAUGAAGGUGGGAGAGGAAGAGCAUGACACAUGACAGCAACUGCAUAAGCUGUGGCCCUGUGACCAAGCAGUGAGGCAUGGGGGCAUGAGGUGGCGGAGCCAGGGGGGGAUAUCUACAGUGUUGACUAGAUCUAUGACUGGGAGAAGCAUUCCGGGCCAAGUCCUAGAUCAGGCUAAGUAGGAAUGGGGAGGCUGACGCUUCAAAGAUGCUGCCAAACUGAAGGGAUUUCUGGGAACGUAUUACCGAAAAUCUCCAUUCAUCUUACAUUCCCUUUCUUUUUCUAGGCCUUUUUGUGUUUGGGCUUACUUCCUUGUGAGGUGGGACAUGCCAGCACCCUCUGGGAUGGAAGUUAUGACUGACAUACAGAAAGCUGUGCUAUUUAAUGCAUACAACUUGAUGUGUUUGGAGG